CACCUGCGCCACAAGUGGCAACCGCUUUUAUUGGGCCUAAAGCGUCCGUAGCCGGCCGGGUAAAUUUUCUGUGAAAUCGUUGCACUCAAUGUAACGGCAUGCAGGAAACACUACCUGGCUUGGGACCGGGAGGCGUCAGAGGUAUUCCUGAGGGAGCGGUAAAAUGCUAUAAUCUCAGGAGGACCUCCUGUGGCGAAGGCGUCUGACGAGAACGGAUCCGACGGUGAGGGACGAAAGCCAGGGGAGCGAACCGG
rnacentral:rRNA from 1 species